UACAGAGGUCCCAAGCGUUGUUCGGAUUCAUUGGGCGUAAAGGGUGCGUAGGUGGCGCCGUAAGUGGGGUGUGAAAUUUCGGAGCUUAACUCCGAAACUGCAUUCCAUACUGCGGUGCUUGAGGACUGGAGAGGAGACUGGAAUUUACGGUGUAGCAGUGAAAUGCGUAGAUAUCGAGAGGAACACCAGUGGCGAAGGCGAGUCUCUGGACAUUUCCUGACGCUGAGGCACGAAAGCCAGGGGAGCAAACGGG
rnacentral:rRNA from 1 species